GACGAACGCUGGCGGCGUGCUUAACACAUGCAAGUCGAACGGUGAAGCGCCUUCCUUUUUGGUGGGUGUGGAUGAGUGGCGAACGGGUGAGUAACACGUGAGUAACCUGCCCCCUUCUUCUGGAUAACCGCAUGAAAGUGUGGCUAAUACGGGAUAUUCUGUGUCUGUCGCAUGAUGGGUCUGGGAAAGAUAUUGUUUCGGUGGGGGAUGGGCUCGCGGCCUAUCAGCUUGUUGGUGGGGUGAUGGCCUACCAAGGCGGUGACGGGUAGCCGGCCUGAGAGGGUGGACGGUCACACUGGGAAUGAGACACGGCCCAGACUCCUACGGGAGGCAGCAGUGGGGAAUAUUGCACAAUGGGCGCAAGCCUGAUGCAGCGACGCCGCGUGAGGGAUGGAGGCCUUCGGGUUGUGAACCUCUUUCGCCAGUGAAGCAGGCCUGCCUCGUUUGUGGGUGGGUUGACGGUAGCUGGAUAAGAAGCGCCGGCUAACUACGUG
rnacentral:rRNA from 1 species